GGCUCGGUAGCUCAGUCGGUAAGAGCGGUCGCACAGUUUGUGAGAGUCCCGGGUUCGAGUCCCGGUCGAGCCU
rfam:Lingula anatina scaffold124, whole genome shotgun sequence.